UACGUAGGGGGCAAGCGUUGUUCGGAAUCAUUGGGCGUAAAGCGCGUGUAGGCGGCUCGAUAAGUCUGCUGUGAAAGUCCAGGGCUCAACCCUGGAAUGCCGGUGGAAACUGUCGAGCUAGAGUCCGGAAGAGGCGAGUGGAAUUCCUGGUGUAGCGGUGAAAUGCGCAGAUAUCAGGAGGAACACCAAUGGCGAAGGCAGCUCGCUGGGACGGUACUGACGCUGAGACGCGAAAGCGUGGGGAGCAAACAGG
rnacentral:rRNA from 1 species